AGCAGCCGCGGUAAUUCCAGCUCCAAUAGCGUAUAUUAAAGUUGUUGCAGUUAAAAGCUCGUAGUUGAAUUUCGGGAUUAAUAUGUUGGUCGUGCCUUGGUACGUACUGGCAUUAUUGAUUCCUACCUUCUGAAGAACCUCGACGUCAUUAAUUUGGUGUCUUGGGGAAUCAGGACCGUUACUUUGAAAAAUUAGAGUGUUUAAAGCAGGCUCGCGCUUGAAUACAUUAGCAUGGAAUAAUGAAAUAGGACGUUUGAUUCUAUUUUGUUGGUUUCUAGGAUCGACGUAAUGAUUAAUAGGGAUAGUUGGGGGCAUUAGUAUUCAAUUGUCAGAGGUGAAAUUCUUGGAUUUAUUGAAGACUGACUACUGCGAAAGCAUUUGCCAAGGAUGUUUUCAUUAAUCAAGAACGAAAGUUAGGGAUCGAAGACGAUCAGAUACCGUCGUAGUCUUAACCAUAAACUAUAGCCGACUAGGGAUCGGAUGAUGUUAAUUUUUAAUGUACUCAUUCGGCGCCUUAAAC
rnacentral:misc_RNA from 1 species